UUGGGCGGCUGCGGUCUGCGCGGACCCCCGUGCCUAGGCGCUCCUGUGCCUCCAGUGCGCGGAGCCGGCCUCGCUCGGGCGUGUUCCUGCGCCGACCGGACGGCCGGACUCCAGCACCUUGGCCCGGCCCGCGAACGCUGAGCACGCGCGGAAACCCUUUAAAGGAAGUGAAAUCAAAUGGAGGUUGGUGAGUACCCCACGGCAACCAUUGCUUCGUUUCAUGGUUCAGAGUGAACUCUAAUCUGGAAGCCUUCCUUAGGUCAUUCCUGCUUCUGGGAUCCAACUCUAUGUUGUGCUUAAGAAAUGUGUCACAUCAGACAGAGUGAAUCACAAGACAGAGAUAUUUACCUAUCACAUAAAUAUUUUAUUAGAUUUCAAGAUGACCAUAUAUACUUGGACGUAUCUGGACUUCAAAUUUGCUGGAACUUAAUUGCGUCCCAAGCUGGCUAAUACCUAGAGAUUCAUCAUUUCUGUUUGGAGGAAUGAAGAGGAACAGUUUAUCUGUUGAGAAUAAAAUUGUCCAGUUGUCAGGAGCAGCGAAACAGCCAAAAGUUGGGUUCUACUCUUCUCUCAACCAGACUCAUACACA
rnacentral:lncRNA from 1 species